GUGAACGCUGGCGGUAGGCCUAACCCCUGCAAGUCGAACGGCAGCACAGUAAGAGCUUGCUCUUACGGGUGGCGAGUGGCGGACGGGUGAGGAAUACAUCGGAAUCUACUUUUUCGUGGGGGAUAACGUAGGGAAACUUACGCUAAUACCGCAUACGACCUACGGGUGAAAGCAGGGGAUCUUCGGACCUUGCGCGAUUGAAUGAGCCGAUGUCGGAUUAGCUAGUUGGCGGGGUAAAGGCCCGCCAAGGCGACGAUCCGUAGCUGGUCUGAGAGGAUGAUCAGCCACACUGGAACUGAGACACGGUCCAGACUCCUACGGGAGGCAGCAGUGGGGAAUAUUGGACAAUGGGCGCAAGCCUGAUCCAGCCAUACCGCGUGGGUGAAGAAGGCCUUCGGGUUGUAAAGCCCUUUUGUUGGGAAAGAAAAGCAGCAGGUUAAUACCCCGCUGUUCUGACGGUACCCAAAGAAUAAGCACCGGCUAACUUCGUG
rnacentral:rRNA from 1 species